rnacentral:rRNA from 1 species
GGAUGACCUCGGGAGAGCAAAGGUCCGCCGCCCUGGGAGGGGCCCACGUGGUAUUACCUAGUUGGCGGGGUAACGGCCCACCAAGGGGGAGAUGCCUAGCGGGUGUGAGAGCACGACCCGCGCCACUGGCACUGAGACACUGGCCAGACACCUACGGGUGGCUGCAGUCGAGGAUCUUCGGCAAUGUGCGCAAGCACGACCGAGCGAUGCCGCGUGUGCGACGAAGGCCUUCGGGUUGUAAAGCACUGUCGAGGGGGAGAAAACCGUAAGGUUGAUCUAUCCCUGGAGGAAGCACGGGCUAAGUUCGUGCCAGCAGCCGCGGUAAGACGAACCGUGCGAACGUUGUUCGGAAUCACUGGGCUUAAAGGGCGCGUAGGCGGGCUGCCAAGUUUGGGGUGAAAUCCUCCGGCUCAACCGGGGAAGUGCCUCGAAUACUGGCGGCCUCGAGGGGGGUAGGGGCGUGCGGAACUGUGGGUGGAGCGGUGAAAUGCGUUGAUAUCCACAGGAACUCCGGUGGCGAAGGCGGCACGCUGGACCUUUUCUGACGCUGAGGCGCGAAAGCCAGGGGAGCGAACGGGAUUAGAUACCCCGGUAGUCCUGGCCCUAAACGAUGGGAACUAGGUAGUAGUCCGGACAUGGGAUUA